UCGGCUUUCGUUGCUUCGUGUAAUAAAAGUAUAUUUUCAUACUACAAAAACUCUGGAAGAGAUUUUUAACAAGUAUAGUGAUAAUUAUCCACGACACUCACCAGACCAUCUUCACAGUGGACCUCUUCAAGUCCUCUGAAGACAUGAAGGUGUUGGUCCCAGGAUGCUCCCCUCAAGCAUUUGUGGGAAUGCUUGACGGAAGAACAAAGCACUUUGGCAGGUAUGGACAGACAUUAUGACACUACUGGCAAUGGGCUGUAAUAAGAGGAAGUUCGCCAACAUGGAUCGCAUGUUGGCAAAGAGAUAUGUGAAGAUGGCAACAAGAGGAGACAUCAGAUUCGGAAAAAAUUGUUGAGGACAAAGCAGCCUUGACAGCUGCCAUUGUUCAACUUCACGAGCAGCAGGCAGAGUUUAGGCUCCCCACAGUGGAUGAGCUGCUCAAUACUGACAACUUUGUGUGGCCAUGGGAAAGACUUGGCCCCAGCAACAGCCAUCUUGCCAUCAAAAAGGCAAUCUUCGACAGACUGAUGUUGGUGAAAAGACUGCAGGAGGAAGAGAGGAUCCUGGGGCAGGAGAUGAAGAGGCACUGGGGGAGCCUACAAAGAGCAGCGGGAACUGGAGGCACUGUCCCAACAGCUGCAAGAUCAGCGCAAUGCAGUGGAGUUGUCAGAGGGAGGGAGGAAUGGCCUUCUCUGCCAGCUGAAGAGAAGAUUGAGUGAACUGACACAAGACCAAGUCAAUACCAGGAAUACCUACCACAAGCUGAUUCUGGUAGAAGGGGAUAUUUUUGAUGACUCUGAUGUAGACGAGAACUCAGAUGAAGAUAGAAGUCCUAUUGCUGAGAGCUCAGAUGACGACUGCUAUGCUUUCUGAAAUCAUACACCACCCCUGCCUCUUUCUCUCGGUCGCCACCACCUCCCUUGGGAGCAGCCUGGUCUCCUGACGUUGACCCCUGACCCCUCACCUUCUGAACCCAUCCAGGGAAAUGUAAUUUGCCUGAUGACACGCUAGUGGAGAAGGAAUGUGUCAUUUCAGCACAUUUGUUGCCAUGUUUCCUCUCCUCUCCUCCGUUUCCUCCGGUCCUAGACUAUGGCGACAUCAUCAGCAACACAGACUCUUGGUUGAGGACCUCUUUACUGAGGAAUGUGGUUGUUCUUCAUGAUUGUUUUUUUGUAUUUUCUUGGAGUGUUUUCUAUGCUGCCGUGAUUGAGAUUUUGUGUAAUUGUGAGUUGCGAAAGAGUCCUUGGUCUCAAUGGGACUGCUAAAAUAAAUAAAUAAAGGUCUUAAUAAAUAAUUGCA